UUCUCGGGGUAUCGGGUGAAGUCCGCCGAGGCUCUUAACCCGUAGGUCCCGGGUUCAAAUCCCGGCGGGCCC
rnacentral:tRNA from 1 species